UCCAACUUUGACAGUUCGUUAAUAAAAAUAUACGAUUAAUGGCGAUAAGGCAGUGCGCUCGGUUAUAAAACCAAAACAUUAUAAAUGUAAUGUUGGAAUCCAAAUAUUACUUAUGAGGUAGAACUUACAUUUGGUGUCCCAAAUAAAAACUAAUCGGCGUUACAGACACAACAAAUGGUAAAACCUAUUCGACAUGUAAUAUCGCCUGAAUACAGAUUUAUUAACUAUCCAACAUUUAAAUAUGUUCGAACAUUAAGAAUACUAGCUGGAAGAACUACAUUCAGUUUAAGGAGACUUUAAUUUCUUUUUGAGGCAACGAAAUAUAUUUAAAAAAAAAUUUUGAAAAUAUAAUAACCUAUACAGUGUCUGUGAAAAAGCUCUGAUUCAGAUCCUGAUGUGGAAAAUGUCUUUUUGGAAAAUGAAUGGAAUUAUAUAAAUAUGUUUUUAUAUUUGAUAAUAAAUAAACAAGUUAUAUAA